UAAUGUUUUUCCAUAAGUAUAAAAAUAGAACGUACUUAAAUAAAUCUAGCAUGCGCACGCCAUCGUACGAAAUGUUUCAAUUGUUGAUUGAACAAUUCUGUUUUGAAACGAACGUUAUUUUAUCAAUAUUAUUAUCUUAUUAUAAUUAGAAAUAGAGCAAAAAGUGAACAAAAAUAAUUCAUUAUAUACAUUAUUAUUAUUCUUAUGUUAAUUGAAAUAUAUUUAAAUGAAAUACAUGAAGAAGUAAAUGUCAGUAUUCUAACAUAACCUCAGUUUUUAUUAUUGAGAGUGAAAUUGAUAUUAUCAUUCUUUAAUUAUUUUUUUCCAAAAAAAAUUACAUUGUUAUAAAUACAUCAUUUCAAAAUGAAUAUAAGACUUUUAAAAGAUCCUGCUACUGUAAGUAGCCGUAUAUUUGUGGGUCACUUACAAACUGAUGAUAUGACUAAACUUGAAUUGGAAGAACAUUUUUCAAAAUAUGGAACCGUUGUUGGUUCUUCAAUAAAUCGUGGAUUUGGUUUUGUUCAAUUUGAAGAAGAACAAUCUGCUCAGAAAGCUAUUCAAAAUGAAGAUGGUGCAAUGUUCAAAGGCAGAAGAAUAGAUGUUAGGCCAGCAAAAAAAGAUAAUCAAUCUAGUGGAGGUGCAGGAAAACAAUUAGGAGGACCUAAUAAUCAAUUUAAUUCUGGCAAUAAUCAUUUUAAUGCUGGAAAUGAUUCUUUUAAUAAUGGAAAUCAGGGUUAUGGAGGAAAUUCAAAUUUUAAUGCAAACCAAAAUUUUAGUUGUGAUCCACAAUUGAAUGACAAUCAAAAAGGUAAUAAUAUGCAAAUUCGAGGAGGAAAUGAUCAAUUUGCAGAUGGAAAUCAGAAUAGAGAUAAUAUGAAUGAUCAAUUUGGAAAUCAAAAUCGAAAUAAUGGGAAUGAACAAUUUAACAAUGUAAUGCAAUCUAAAGGAAAUAAUAAUUUUAAUCCAAAUAAUCCAAAUAGAGGUGGUACUGAUCAAUUUAAUCAAAGCAGAGGUGGUAAUCAAUUUGGACCAGCUGGAAAUCAAAAUAGACCUAGUGGAAAUCAAAACCGUAAUACAAAUAAUCAGAAUCAAAGUAGUGGGGGAGGUAUGAAUAAUGGAGGGAGUGGUCGACCAAGAGGUACCAGAGGUGGAAAAAAUCGAAAUAAAAAUAGAGAUAAUUCAGGUGGAAAUAACUUCAGAGAUCGUAGCCCUAUUAAUAGAGGCCCACGUUUAGAUGAUAAAAGUGGUAGAGAUUGGGAUCAUAAACAAGGGGAUAGAUUAAGAGGCAAUAAUUUUAAUAGAGAUUCAUUCAAUGACAGCAAUAAUCGUUAUGAAGAUUUUAAAAACUCUACUUCUAGAGAUAUGAAUAUGAGUUUUAAUAAUACAAGUACAUCAAAUGAAUAUUCAAAUGUAUCAACUGAAAAAAAUGAUUGUGAAAUCAUUGUUGUUAACAAAGUUUUAACAGAAUAUGCUGAAAGUAUUGAAAUGAGGUUAAAAAAAAUUGGAUUAACAGUUGAUUUAUUAUUUCCAAAUGAAGACGUCCUCUUAAGUAGAGUUCUAGGAAAUAUUGCAAGUCGUGGAUGUUUAUAUGCAGUUGUAGUGACACCUAUUAAUCAAGAACAUCAUUCCUUAACUUUAAAUAUUCUUCAUGGUUUACCUCAAGAACAUAGAAAUAUGUUGGUUGAAGAUGCUAUUAAUUUAAUAUCGCGCGAUUUUGCUAAUUACAAAGCUGGUGGACGAUCGGUUCCAUUGAAUACACCUUUUGCAAACGAACGACAUCCUGAUGCUAUUCAAGUUCUUUUAAAUAUGCUGGCUGAUAAUCAUCAAUUAACAGUAUUACAAUAUGAUCGAGUUAUAAAAUAUCUCGAAAUUAAACGUGAAGAACAAGUGCAAGUUGAAUUAGGAGAUGUAAAAGAUUUACCAACUACAACAACUACGAUAACAGUCAGUGAUCCAAAACAAGCAGAAUUACAAUCUAGGAUACUUAAUAUUUUAAACAGUAAUAAAACAACUUCAUCUGCACCAGCACCAAGUCCAGUACCAGCUCCAACUUCAACACCAGCACCCGUUCCACCAGCUACUUGGGGAACAGAAAAAAUUAGUCUGUGUGGCUAAAAGGAUAGCCGCGAGAGCUGAAAUACAAGCAAAAGCACUGAUUCCAAUAAGUGGUCUCAUUGUCAUAUUGGUAGCAAGACUCAAAGCAGAUCGUGCACUGGUACUAUCCAAUAUGUCUUCAUCUGUAAAUCCUGCAGUUCUAUUAUCUACAAAAGAAAGAUAUUUUAUAAAAUCUAAAAAUGAACCCAAUAAAAUAUGAAUUCUAUUCUUUACCUGGAUUAGAUUCAGCUAAUUUCAUGUCAGCACGCAGUUCAUUGAUAUUUUUACCUUUUGCUGUUACUAUGAUCAGAAAUCUAAUAAUUUUG
rnacentral:misc_RNA from 1 species